rnacentral:misc_RNA from 1 species
GAAAUGCGAUAAGUAGUGUGAAUUGCAGAAUUCAGUGAAUCAUCGAAUCUUUGAACGCACAUUGCGCCCCUUGGUAUUCCAUGGGGCAUGCCUGUUCGAGCGUCAUUUGUACCCUCAAGCUCUGCUUGGUGUUGGGUGUUUGUCCCGUCUCCGCGCGUGGACUCGCCCCAAAGUGAUUGGCAGCCGGCGUACUGGUCCAGGAGCGCAGCACAUGUCGCGCAAACGAGUGCCUUGGUACGGCGGCGUCCAUAAGCCCCUCUCUCACGCUCUUGACCUCGGAUCAGGUAGGGAUACCCGCUGAACUUAAGC